AAGAUUAUUUUCUGUAAGAGUUGAUCUGAGUUCUUUCUCUGCUCUAUAGAUUUAUUGUAAAGCACUGAAGUUUACAUUCAUCAAAAGGUAGACUAUGCAGACAGCUAUGAUUAUUAUUUUAAGGAAUUUUCCUAUGAUUGUUAUUUUUAUUUGUUUCUAGGUUAAGAAGGCUUUUUUGCUCUGUAGCCUGGACGUACUUUGAAGCCCCUCCCCACGAUGCUGUACGUGCACAAUGGUUACUAGGCAAUCCGUACAUCAGGAGAAGGGACACUCUUCCAUAAGGCUGAUCCCCGUAACCUAAUGAAUCCUUUGUAAAAAGUGGACUCAGCUAGGAUGUUACACCAUCAUUGUCGAAGGAACCCUGAGCUCCAGGAAGAGUUGCAGAUUCAGGCCGCGGUGGCUGCUGGGGAUGUCCACACAGUGCGAAAGAUGCUAGAACAAGGCUAUUCCCCGAAUGGCCGAGAUGCGAAUGGCUGGACUCUGCUUCAUUUCUCUGCAGCAAGAGGAAAGGAAAGAUGUGUUCGGGUUUUUCUAGAACACGGAGGUGAGUUUUGUAGAAGCAAAUCUUUUUCCCCAUGGAGAAACAUAAAUGAUGUUUAGUUUAAAAUGUGUCUAUUUGUAAUUUUUAA
rnacentral:lncRNA from 1 species